AUGGAGCCAUGCAUUGGCACCGUGCUCAGCGGGGAGUCUGCUUGAGAUUCUCUCUCUGCCCCUCCCCAACUUGCUAUCUCUGAAAUAAAAUCUUUCAGACAAAUAACUUUCAGAUAUCCCCACUUUCAUUGAAAAGCAUAUGCAACUCAAGCGAUUGCAGACAACCUGCCUCAUAAGGUCUGAUCCAUUAUGAUCACACAGUGGCUAUUCUGACAGAGUCCACUGCUGCCGGGGAGUUUUCAACGCCACCCAGAAACAGAGAAGAAAAAGUGCCCAGGGUACGAGAGCACAUCAUAAACUAAUAAGGCACGCAGAAAAUAGGUAAGUGGUCUUUUGUCAAAAGAUUACCAUCAGAGUGUUUGAAGCACUUUGAACCAAGUUGGGACAAAGAGCCCAAAGUUUCUUUUUCUUUCUUUCUUUUUUUUUUUUUUUUUUUUUUUUUAGAUAUUUACAGGACAAAAAGGCAUCAAUCAGAAAAGUUAAAGAUGUUUUUAAAAAUCACAGUCUUCUAUGUAAAAAAUGAAGCUUAGAUGGAUAAAGGGAUUUGCUCAAGGUCACACAAGUAGACACUGACAUAAUCAGGAUUAAAACCCUGGCCUCUAUUCCUAGUCUGAAGGGGGAGGAAAGGGUGCUGGGGCUGUGCUGGUCUCCACCCCCACCUAACAGUGCAGCCCUGGGUCUACCCACCUGUCCUUGUUGAGAGAAGGGUUAUUUACUGUUCUUUAAAUAGAAGAGAGGUUGGGUUUUGUUUUGUUUGUUUUUAAAUACAGAACUCACAGGAACAGGACUAGAUUUAAAUAUUAGUCCUUUGUUUCCAAGGGAAGAAGCUGUAGAAAGAAAUGAGCAUUUCACUGCAGACUUUUCUCAGUGGAACAGCUGUGAGCCCUAAAGCUUGGAUUGUCUCUUUCUGGUAUCUAACACAUCUACCCAUAACCUUUCAUUACAAAAUUGGGAACAUAUUCUCAAGGGAAAUGUUAUUAACCAGACUAAAUUUAAAAUGGUCUCUGGCUCCUGAAGAGUCAACAGCGGAAAAGCAGUACAAAAGCAAGAACCCCAGGACCCAAAACAGGAUUCUAUUUAUUUAUCCUAUUCACUUAUUCCAUUUGACAAAUAUUUAUACAUACUGUGAGCCAGGCACUAUAUAUGUAUGAUAUAUAUGACUUCUUAUGUGUGUGUGUGUGUGUGUGUGUAUGUAUAUAUAUAUAUUUUUUUAUAUAUAUUUACUUUGAGUCAGGUACUAUUUUAAGGGCUUUAUAAUUAAUAAGUCAUUUUAUCCUCAUAUUAACCAUAGAAGAUGCCUGUCAACUAAAUUGUUUCUAAGAGCCCAGCAGGAAAUGUAUCUGAAUAUGUUGGAAGGGUUAGCACAGUGUGUUCAGCCAGCACAUUGAAUGAUGAUGUCCCGGCACGACACAGAUAAAUAAAAAAGGCAGAGAAGAACAUAACAGUGCCCAGAAAUUUGUGGUAGUUUCCGGUGGCUGCUGUAACAAAUUAAGCUUGGUGGCUUAAAACAACACAUUCUCUCACAAAUCUAGAGGCACAAAGUCCAGAAUCAGUUUCACUGGGUCAAAACCAAGGUGUUGGCAGGGCCAUGCUCCCUCCAGACGUUCUAGGGGGGCAUGCAUUCCUCGCCUCUUUCAGCUUUUGGCAGCGGCUGCUGCCAUUCCAAGGCUUAUAGCUACAGCUCUCCAGCUCUCUCAAUCUCUUCCAGCUCCACAUCACCUCCUCCUCUGUGCGUGUCAAUUAGCCUGCUUUCUCUUAUAAGGCCAUUUGUGAUAGCACUUAGGACCCACUUGGAUAAUCAGGGAUAAUCUGGUGAUCUCAAGAUCCUUAACUUAAUCACAUUUUUUAUAAAAGGCCUUUUCAAAAUUAAGUAACAUCUAUAAGUUCCAGAGAUGAUAUCUUUGGGCCAGAUAUUUUGAGGGGGCCAAUUUUCAGCCUACCACAAAAUCAUCUGGCUAAGAGCAGCCCCCUCCACCUAACAUACACACACACACACACACACACACACACACACACAAAUACACUCACCCUCUCAAAUUUGAACAGGACUCUCCUGUGAAGCAGAACCGUUUAUCUGCAACUUCAUCAAAGGGAAGGCAGACAUCAGGGCCUUACAAGGAACUCUCUGGAAGGUACCUUGCAACAUCUUCUGGUUUCAGAGCUGCUACAGCAGAAGCUCCAUGACUGGAUGCAUGUGAUGGAGGAGACUCCUACCUUGGCUGGGAGUGGAUCCAUGUAACUCUCAAGAUUCCCUUGCAAACUUUUAAAGAAUGCUCUUCUGACUCAUUCCCAUGUUUUCCAGAGGUCACCUUGCUUGGACACACUUGGCAGGGAAACAUGGAGUCAAACACCUGCUCAGAGCUGAGCAUUCACCAUCUACCCAUGGCUUUAAGUUGGAUGCAAGGUCAGAACCUGCCUCCUUUGUGUUCUGCUAGCAAAUCGGACUACUUGCAUUUCUCACAGCAGGUGCUUCUUGGGCUGACUUUAUACCUGGCUUCCUCUUGGCUGUCCUUCCCUUGUUUUCCCU
rnacentral:lncRNA from 1 species